rnacentral:rRNA from 1 species
UACGUAGGGUGCGAGCGUUGUCCGGAAUUAUUGGGCGUAAAGGGCGCGUAGGCGGUGCGGUAAGUCACCUGUGAAAACUCUGGGACUCAACUCAGAGCCUGCAGGCGAAACUGCCGUGCUGGAGUGUGGGAGAGGUGCGUGGAAUUCCCGGUGUAGCGGUGAAAUGCGUAGAUAUCAGGUGGAACACCAGUGGCGAAGGCGGCUUCUGGACGGUAACUGACGCUGAGACGCGAAAGCGUGGGGAGCAAACAGG